CUUGCUUCUCCUGGUACCAAAUCAGAACCUGAUUGUUGAGUGCUAAGAAGCGUAGAAGUAUGACAUUUGAGCUUGUGUCAUUGCAUAGAGAAGUGAAACAAGGUUGUCGAAGACCUCAGAACAUCAGUGUGGCUGAAGCUGAAUGGGCACAUUCAGCAAAUCGAUUGAUUGAUAAGAUUGAAUAUUAACCUGAAAUGAUUGAAGAUUGGUCACCAGUGCUUAGAU